rnacentral:rRNA from 1 species
UACGGAGGAUGCGAGCGUUUCCGGAUUUAUUGGGUUUAAAGGGUGCGUAGGCGGGCUGUUAAGUCAGCGGUCAAAUGUCGGGGCUCAACCCCGGCCUGCCGUUGAAACUGGUGGCCUCGAGUGGGCGAGAAGUAUGCGGAAUGCGUGGUGUAGCGGUGAAAUGCAUAGAUAUCACGCAGAACUCCGAUUGCGAAGGCAGCAUACCGGCGCCCGACUGACGCUGAGGCACGAAAGCGUGGGUAUCGAACAGG